AUUGAACGCUGGCGGCAUGCUUUACACAUGCAAGUCGAACGGUAACAGGGUGCUUGCACCGCUGACGAGUGGCGAACGGGUGAGUAAUGCGUCGGAACGUGCCGAGUAGUGGGGGAUAACGCAGCGAAAGUUGUGCUAAUACCGCAUACGUACUGAGGUAGAAAGUGGGGGACCUUCGGGCCUCACGCUAUUCGAGCGGCCGACGUCUGAUUAGCUAGUAGGUGAGGUAAAGGCUACCAAGGCAACGAUCUGUAGCUGGUCUGAGAGGAUGAGCAGCCGCACUAGGACUGAGACACGGCCCAGACUCCUACGGGAGGCAGCAGUGGGGAAUUUUGGACAAUGGGGGCAACCCUGAUCCAGCCAUUCCGCGUGAGUGAAGAAGGCCUUCGGGUUGUAAAGCUCUUUCGGCAGGAACGAAACGGCGAGCUCUAACAUAGCUUGCUAAUGACGGUACCUGAAGAAGAAGCACCGGCUACUACGUGCCAGCCGCCGCAGUAAAAC
rnacentral:rRNA from 1 species